rnacentral:rRNA from 1 species
UACAGAGGUCUCAAGCGUUGUUCGGAUUCAUUGGGCGUAAAGGGCGCGUAGGCUGCGGGGCAAGUCGGGUGUGAAAUCUCAGAGCUCAACUCUGAAGCUGCACUCGAUACUGCUUUGCUCGAGGACUGGAGAGGAGAUUGGAAUUCACGGUGUAGCAGUGAAAUGCGUAGAUAUCGUGAGGAAGACCAGUGGCGAAGGCGGAUCUCUGGACAGUUCCUGACGCUGAGGCGCGAAGGCCAGGGGAGCAAACGGG